GACGAACGCUGGCGGCGUGCUUAACACAUGCAAGUCGUACGGUAAGGCCCUUUCGGGGGUACACGAGUGGCGCACGGGUGAGUAACACGUGAGUAACCUGCCCACAACUUUGGGAUAACGCUAGGAAACUGGUGCUAAUACUGGAUAUGUGCUCCUGCUGCAUGGUGGGGGUUGGAAAGCUCCGGCGGUUGUGGAUGGACUCGCGGCCUAUCAGCUUGUUGGUGGGGUAGUGGCCUACCAAGGCGGCGACGGGUAGCCGGCCUGAGAGGGUGACCGGCCACAUUGGGACUGAGAUAAGGCCCAGACUCCUACGGGAGGCAGCAGUGGGGAAUAUUGCACAAUGGGCGCAAGCCUGAUGCAGCAACGCCGCGUGCGGGAUGACGGCCUUCGGGUUGUAAACCGCUUUCAGCAGGGACGAAGCUUUUUGUGACGGUACCUGCAGAAGAAGCACCGGCUAACUACGUG
rnacentral:rRNA from 1 species